UACGUAGGGUCCAAGCGUUAAUCGGAAUUACUGGGCGUAAAGCGUGCGUAGGCGGUUUCGCAAGUCCGAUGUGAAAUCCCCCGGGCUUAACCUGGGAACUGCGUUGGAAACUACGAGCUAGAGUGCGGCAGAGGGGGGGUGGAAUUCCAGGUGUAGCAGUGAAAUGCGUAGAGAUCUGGAGGAACACCGAUGGCGAAGGCAGCCCCCCUGGGCUAGCACUGACGCUGAUACACGAAAAGCGUGGGGGAGCAAACAGGGAUUAGAAAACCCCCGGU
rnacentral:rRNA from 1 species